AUGCCGUGCUCGCCAGGGCCCCGCCGCCGCCCGCCGCCGGCGGUGCCAAUCAGCGCCGGCCUGCUCCGGCAGCUUCGGAUCGCCGCCGGCCAGGGCUCCCCGCGCCGCCUCCUCCUGCAAUCCCUGGCGCUGGUCCUCACCUCCAACCUCUCCUCCACCCACGCCGCCGUCUCCUCCCGCCUCCUCAACUCGCUCCUCCCGCACCUCCCCGCCGGCCGCCUCCACCUCCUCCGCCUCCUCCCCUUCGACCACCUCACGCUCCUCCUCUUCUCCUCCNNNUCUUCCGCCGCCAACCGCCGCCCCAUCACCCCCCUCCCCGCCGCCUCCUCCCUCCACGCGCUCGCCGUCCGCUCGGGCCACCUGCCCGCCGACCUCCGGCUCGCCAACUCGCUCCUCGCGCGCUACCUCGCGCUCGGCUCCCACGCCUCCGCGCGCCGCCUCUUCGCCGACAUCCCGCGCCCCGACGCCGUCACCUGGAACACGCUCCUCCGCGCCUGCCUCCGCUCCGGCCUCCUCCCCUCCGCACGCCAGCUGUUCGACCAAAUGCCCCAGCGCGACCUCGUCUCCUACAACUCCAUGCUGGCCGGUCACGCCGCGGCCGGGGACAUGGCCGGCGCGCGGCAGCUGUUCGACGGGAUGCCCGAGAGGGACGUGGUCUCCUGGAACUCGAUGCUGGCCGGGUACACACGCUGCGGAGACAUGGAGGAAGCCAGGAGGAUGUUCGACGCGAUGCCGGAGAGGGACGUCGUGUCAUGGAACUCGAUGCUGGACGGGUACGCGCAGGCUGGGGACGUCAAGAUGGCGAGGGCCGUGUUUGACGGCAUGCCGAGGAGGAGCGCCGUGUCCUGGAACGUCGUCCUGGCGCUGUACGCGCGGGUGAAGGACUGGCGGGAGUGCCUGAGGCUGUUUGACACGAUGAUGGCAGUGGGGGCCGCAGUGCCGAACGAGAAGACCUUCGUGAGCGUUUUGACAGCCUGCGGCAGCCUCGGCGACCUCGAUAGAGGGAAGUCGGUGCACGGCCUGGUCCGGCAGAGGUGGGAGAGGCUAUUGCCGGACGUCCUCCUGCUCACGGCACUGCUGACAAUGUACGCCAAGUGCGGGGUGAUGGAGACCGCGAGGGAGAUCUUCGACUCGAUGGGCGACAGGAGCGUCCCGUCCUGGAACUUCGAGUCCAAGGCAGAGCACUUCGGGUGCAUGAUGGACCUCCUCGGCCGCGCCGGGCUGCUCACAGGCUCAGAGAACCUCGUCCAGAAUUUACAGGGCAAGGCGUCCCCGGCGCUGUGGGGCGCCAUGGUCUCGGCCUCCUCUCGGGCGCAGGACGGCUCCAGGCUCGGGGAGUUUGUGGGGAGGAAGCUGAUGGAGAUGGAGCCGGCGGAGGUCGGCCCCUACGUGCUGCUCUCGAACAUCUACGCGGCGGAAGGGAGGUGGGACGACGUGGAGAAGGUGAGGGAGGCGAUGAAGCGGAACGGCGCCGAGAAGGGCGCGGGGCUGAGCCUGGUGGGAGGCGGCGGAUCGGAGCCCCGCGUUGGUGCCGAGGACGGCGUCUCGGUUGGAAGGCGGGAUGAUGGCGUGGUGGUGCUGUCGUUGCUGGGCGAGAUGGGCGCCCGCCUGAAGGCUGCCGUUUGA
rnacentral:rRNA from 1 species